CCUACGGGGGGCAGCAGUAAGGAAUAUUGGUCAAUGGACGAAAGUCUGAACCAGCCAUCCCGCGUGCAGGAUGAAAGCCCUAUGGGUUGUAAACUGCUUUUAGCAGAGAAGAAAAGCUUCCAUUUAUAGGGGUCUGACGGUAUCUGCAGAAUAAGCACCGGCUAACUCCGUGCCAGCAGCCGCGGUAAUACGGAGGGUGCGGGAGUUAUCCGGAGUAAAGGGGUUGUAAGGGGGGUAUUAAGGCAGUGGUGAAAUCUUGUCGCUUAACGAUAAAAUUGCCAAUGAUACUGGUACUCUUGAAUUGGGCUGAGGUUAGCGGAAUGUGACAUGUAGCGGUGAAAUGCAUAGAUAUGUCAUGGAACACCAAUUGCGAAGGCAGCUAACUGGGCCUUGAUUGACGCUGAGGCACGAAAGCGUGGGUAGCGAACAGGAUUAGAUACCCCAGUAGUC
rnacentral:rRNA from 1 species